rnacentral:rRNA from 1 species
GGGGAAUCUUCCGCAAUGGGCGAAAGCCUGACGGAGCAACGCCGCGUGAGUGAAGACGGCCUUCGGGUUGUAAAGCUCUGUUAUACGGGACGAAUAAUCUUGUGGUUAAUACCCAUAAGAAGUGACGGUACCGUAAGAGAAAGCCACGGCUAACUACGUGCCAGCAGCCGCGGUAAUACGUAGGUGGCAAGCGUUGUCCGGAAUUAUUGGGCGUAAAGGGCGCGCAGGCGGCUUCUUAAGUCUGUCUUAAAAGUGCGGGGCUUAACCCCGUGAUGGGAUGGAAACUAGGAAGCUCAGAGUAUCGGAGAGGAAAGCGGAAUUCCUAGUGUAGCGGUGAAAUGCGUAGAUAUUAGGAGGAACACCAGUGGCGAAAGCGGCUUUCUGGACGAAAACUGACGCUGAGGCGCGAAAGCCAGGGGAGCGAACGGGAUUAGAUACCCCGGUAGUCCUGGCCGUAAACGAUGGGUACUAGGUGUAGGAGGUAUCGACCCCUUCUGUGCCGGAGUUAACGCAAUAAGUACCCCGCCUGGGGAGUACGGCCGCAAGGUUG